rnacentral:antisense_RNA from 1 species
CGGCCGCCCCCCACACAAAGGGGCUCCCCGCCUGGGUCGCGGCGUCGGCGCGCUCGUCCCCGCCCCGCGCGCGGGCUCUCACCCACCUGCAGGUGUCUGUGCGUCUGUCCAUAGGAACGCGGUCGGCGGGGGGGGCCUGCGAGAGCCGGGCAGCCCGGGCUGGACGGGACGGGCCGGAGGGGCGAGAGGGCGGGAGGAGAGCGGCCAGAGGGCCGGGCACCGAAGGUGUGGAACCCGCCAUCCCCGCUAUGGUCCGAGGAAGUGUACAGCACCGCUCCCUACUACACGUCCUGGGCCCGCGAUCCCCGAUGCCCCCCGGAGCUCUGUGCACCUCCACUGAAACGCAAGGAGCAGAAAGAACCUACACUAUCCGUGAGGCAUCCAACCAUGAUGAGGUACCUUGUUGAACAAACUAACUCUGCCACUGAGAACGAUGAAAGCUGUUUAAAAAAAUAAAUAAAUAAGUCUGUUUAAAACAAUUGGACAGCAACCCUGUCAUCCAAGGCUUGAGAGUCCAAGAGCCCCCCAGGAAGAAGAGAAAUACUCUGAAGUGAGUCCUGCAUU